CUCCUCUCAGGGUCACACCUGAAGAGUUGGUACUCUACCAGUCUCGACCAUGGGAGGGAGAGUCAAGCAGAGACCUACUCAUUCCAUUCCUAGCUUGGCCAGUGGCUAGUGAGUGGAAGGUAAUCUGCUACAAGU